GCCAAACUGCAAUCCGAGUGUAGGCAACAGAAAGCAAGCUGGAUUUCAGCCAGAACCCAGUCUCAUUCAGGCACCAGCCUCAUAGAUGUGUUGAACAGAAGGGGUUCUGUGUUGAACAGAUGGAAUUGCUGCAUAAGAAAGCUCUCAGGAUACCUGAACCACCG